rnacentral:rRNA from 1 species
GAUGAACGCUGGCGGCGUGCCUAAUACAUGCAAGUCGAGCGAACAGAUGAGGAGCUUGCUCCUCUCACGUUAGCGGCGGACGGGUGAGUAACACGUGUAUAACCCACCUAUAAUACUGGGAUAACUUCGGGACACCGGAGCUAAUCCCGUAUAAUAUACUGAACCGCAUUGUUCAAUAGUGAAAUACGGUUUUGCUGUCACUUAUCGAUGGUUCCGCGCCGGUUUAGCUAGUUGGUAAGGUCACGGCUUACCAAGGCAACGAGGCGUAGCCGACCUGAGAGGCGGAUCGGCCACACUGGAACUGAGACACGGUCCAGACUCCUACGGGAGGCAGCAGAAGGGAAUCUUACGCAAUGGGCGGAAGCCUGACGGAGCAACGCCGCGUGAGUGACGAAGGUCUUCGGAUCGGAAAGCUCUGUUAUUAGGGAAGAACAAAUGUGUAAGUAACUAUGCACGUCUUGACGGUACCUGAUAAGAAAGCCACGGCUAACUACGUG